AUUGAACGCUGGCGGCAUGCUUUACACAUGCAAGUCGAACGGUAACAGGCCUUCGGGUGCUGACGAGUGGCGAACGGGUGAGUAAUGCAUCGGAACAUACCCAGUCGUGGGGGAUAACGUAGCGAAAGUUACGCUAAUACCGCAUACGUCCUGAGGGAGAAAGCGGGGGAUCGCAAGACCUCGCGCGAUUGGAGUGGCCGAUGUCAGAUUAGCUAGUUGGUGGGGUAAAGGCCCACCAAGGCGACGAUCUGUAGCGGGUCUGAGAGGAUGAUCCGCCACACUGGGACUGAGACACGGCCCAGACUCCUGCGGGAGGCAGCAGUGGGGAAUUUUGGACAAUGGGCGCAAGCCUGAUCCAGCCAUGCCGCGUGCGGGACGAAGGCC
rnacentral:rRNA from 1 species